GCUUACGGCCAUACCACCCUGAGAACGCCCGAUCUCGUCUGAUCUCGGAAGCUAAGCCGGGUCGGGCCUGGUUAGUACUUGGAUGGGAGACCGCCUCGGAAUACCAGAUGCUGUAAGCU
rnacentral:rRNA from 1 species